rnacentral:misc_RNA from 1 species
AAGAUCUUUGGUCUUAGUAUAAGUGUAGUCGAUUUUUUGAUUGGAAAGUAAAGGAGCAAUAACCAAUACUCUUAAUAGAAUAAGAAAUUGGUUAUUGUUCCUUUAUUUAGUGAUCUUUUCAGUUUUUAUUUACUUCAACAUAAGAAAAAAAGUAGUCUAGUCUUAGGGAUUGGUUUAUGAKUGCGUAUCAUACUUUUUCCUUAUGUAUAAAUAUAUAAUUUAUAUMCAUUCUUUUCAACCCUUUGUAAUACUUUAGUGAGAUUAUUAUCUUCUAGUUUUUUUCGAAUAAAAAAAUGGAAAGGUUAUAAUUUUCUGCUACUUUUAAGAUAAAAAAAUGUUAAAAAUUAMCAAUCGAAAUGAAAUAUUUUCCA